rnacentral:lncRNA from 1 species
CUAGAAUCCACCCACCAUCAGCCUGGUCCUGGAACCGAGCGGAACUCAGUCCUCAGCUCCCUUGAGGUAGAGAUCACAAGUAGGCAGAGAGAGAGAGAGAGAGAGGGAAGCAGGCUCCCCGCUGAGGAGAGAACUGGAUGCGGAACUCCAUCCCCGGACCCCGAGAUCAUGACCUGAGACGAAGGC